CUUUGUAUUUUUCUGGUUUUAAAACCAUGUGAAUGUAUCACUUAAUCAAAACAUUAAAUUUUGGUUGAGUUCUAGGAGGGAGUGGAGCAUGUGUUUAAUCUGCUGUCUUUAACCAGAAGUCUCAAGUAUUGUUUUUCUAAAUUAGCAGCUUCAAUGUUGAAACCAUGAGAAGCUACCCAGCCAAAAGCCAUUCCAAACAAAUCCAGAGCCAUAAGCAAAAAUAUAGACAAAUUUGGCUUUGUGAAAAUUAAAGAUUUAUGCAAAGCAAAAACCAAAAAUCAAAUCAAAUUUAAAAAGAUCAGAAAACCAAAAACAAAUUGGGAAAAAAUUUUGCAACAAGUAUGACAAAAGGCAAAUUUACUUUAAAAUAUGGAAUUUUGACCAGGUGUAGUGGCUCACACUUGUCAUCCUAGCACUUUAAAAGGCUGAGGCAGGGCUGGGUGCUGUGGGGGGCCGAGGCAGGCAGAUCACUUGAGGUCAGGAGUUCAAGACCAGUCUGGCCAACAUGGUGAAACCCCAUCUCUACGAAAAAUACAAAACAAUUAGCCGGGAGUGGUAGCACAUGCCUGUAAUCCCAGCUACUUGGGAGACCGAGGCAGGAGAAUCACUCGAACCUGGGAGGUGAAGGUUGAAGUGAGCUGAGAUUGCGCCACUGCACUCCAGCCCAGGCAACAGAGUGAGGCUUUGUCUCAAAAAAAAAAAAAAAAGGCCAAGUCAGGAGGGUGCCAGACUGCAACUCCAGUCUGGGUGACAAAGCAAGAACCUAUUUCAAAAAAAAAAAAAAAAAAAAGAUGAAGUUUUUACAAAGCAAUUAAACACAGAUAAAAAUCCAAUAGAAAACAACAGGCAAAGGACAUGAAUAUACUACACAGGUGAAUACUUACAAAUGGCUUUUAAAUACAUGAAAAAUGUUCAACCUCACUCAUAAAUUAAAGAAUGAAAAUCAGAACAAUGAGAAAAUCAGUUUUCACCUAUUAGAACAGCAAAAUUAUAAAAUCUGAUAAUAUACACUGGUGACGUAAAGAUUUGGUGGGGGGGAGUCUAAAAUAUUUUUAGUAGGAUUAAAAAUUGUUACUAAAUUUGCAGUGCAUUUUGGUGCUAUCUAUCAAAAUGUUAAAGUUACAUUUACCUUUUGACGCUGCAACUUCCCUAUCAGACAUGUAUCUGCUUGCACUGGGCAUUAAGACAUAUUUACUUGCUCACUUCAGCUGCACAUAUGCUAAAAUUGGAAGGAUACAGAGAAGAUUGUCAUGGCCCCUGCACAAGGAUGACAUGCAUGAAGCAUUCCAUAUUUUUUUAAAAAUACAUAUUUACAACGAUAUUCACUGCAGCAUUAUUUGUAGUCACAAAAACUGUAAGCAACCCAACUGCUUACAGGAGGAAAUUGGCUACAUAAAUUACAGUAUAUUCAUUCAGAGGGAUAUUAAGCAGCCAAUAAAAAGAAUGAGGCAGGCCAGGCACAGUCACUCACACUUGUAAUCCCAGCACUUUGAGAGACCAAGAUGGGAAGAUCAGUUGAGGCCAGGAGUUCGAGACCAGCCCGGGCAACAUGGCAAGGCCUGACUCUACAAAAAAUAAAAAAUUAGCGAGGAGUGGUGGCACGUACCUGUUGUCCCAACUACUUGGGAGGCUGAAGCAGGAGGAUCCCCUGAGCUCAGGAGUUAGAGGUUGCAGUGAGCUAUAAUCACACCACAGCACUCUAGCGUGGGAGACAGAGCAAGACCUGUCUCUAAAAAUAAAAAUAAGAAAAAGAAUGAGGCAGCUUUAUAUUUAUGGAAUUAUCUCUAACAUGGAGUCUUAAGGUUACAAGCAAAUUAUGGAACAGUGUAUAUGGAGUGAUCCUAUUUGAGUGAUUUUUUAAGUAACUUUUCUUAAAUACAUAGAUGUGCUUGUGUACACACAAGAUAUCUCUGGAGGAAUACAUAAGAAACAAAUCAUUAUUACUACCUCCAGAGAAGAAACUGGGAAAAUAAGGGAUCAACAAAGGGAAGGGGAGUUUUUUUCCCUUAAAAACAUAUGUGUGUGUAUAUAUAUAUAAUCUCCAAGUGCAUGAUUUUUAAAAAAAUAAUAGGUACAUUAGUAAAUGUUUUCGGUCGCAAGCAACAGAAACAAUUUAUAGUUAAUCUAAGCAGUAAAUGAAUUUAUUAAAAAAUAUUAGGUAGUUCACAAGCUCUCCAGGAGGACUAGAAACCCAGGUUUAGAGGCUACAUAGCCAGAAGCAACACCUAAAAUUGUACUGCAGAACAAUAUCAUGAAGUCAUCAAUGCCCCCACUGCAUGGAA
rnacentral:lncRNA from 10 species